rnacentral:rRNA from 1 species
CUGGAGGAAGCACGGGCUAAGUUCGUGCCAGCAGCCGCGGUAAGACGAACCGUGCAAACGUUGUUCGGAAUCACUGGGCUUAAAGGGCGCGUAGGCGGGUGGUCAAGUCAGGGGUGAAAUCUUUCGGCUCAACCGGAAAACAGCCUCUGAUACUGACCGUCUUGAGCGAGGUAGGGGCAUGUGGAACUUCCGGUGGAGCGGUGAAAUGCGUUGAUAUCGGAAGGAACGCCGGUGGCGAAAGCGACGUGCUGGACCUCUUCUGACGCUGAGGCGCGAAAGCUAGGGGAGCGAACGGGAUUAGAUACCCCGGUAGUCCUAGCCCUAAACGAUGGGUACUAGGUAGUGGACUUAACAUGGGUUCACUGCCGAAGCAAAAGUGUUAAGCACCCCGCCUGGGGAGUAUGGUCGCAAGGCUGAAACUCAAAGGAAUUGACGGGGGCUCACACAAGCGGUGGAG